rnacentral:rRNA from 1 species
GACAGAGGGUGCGAGCGUUAAUCGGAAUUACUGGGCGUAAAGCGUGCGCAGGCGGGCUUUUAAGCCAGACGUGAAAUCCCCGGGCUUAACCUGGGAAUGGCGUUUGGGACUGGAAGUCUGGAGUGCGGCAGAGGAGACUGGAAUUCCUGGUGUAGCAGUGAAAUGCGUAGAUAUCAGGAGGAACACCGAUGGCGAAGGCAGGUCUCUGGGCUGACACUGACGCUCAUGCACGAAAGCGUGGGGAGCAAACAGG